rnacentral:lncRNA from 1 species
GACUCAGUAAACUUAAUCCCCUGUAGUUAUUGCAACACUGAAUGUCCCCCUUAUUCUUAUAGAGGGGGAUCAUGGUACUCCACCUCCACGCCUCGGGCAUCUUUGCCGUCCUGAAAAUUUCAUUGAACAAUGCAGUCAACCACCUUACACCAGCCUCUCCAACGAACUUCCAAAACUCCACCGGUAUCUCAUCCGGCCCCGUCGCCCUACCCCUUCGUAUCCUGCGG